UACGGCCGCAUCACGUUGAAACACUGGUUUCCGUAGGAUCACCGAAGUUAAGCAACGUCGAACCUGGUCAGUAUCUAGAUGAAUGACCGCUUAGAAAUAACAGGUGCUGUAAG